GGGCGUGAUCACUCUUCUACCUUCAGUUAUGCUUUUGUGGGGAUUGACCAUGGAACUGGCAUGUAUUAUGAACUGAGUUGGAGUUGUUUCAAAACUACUUUGUUUCCGCUACUGCUAUGGUUUGUAAUAACCUCUUUUAAACUCUGAUGUGAUGUAAAACUAUGUUCUGUGUUGAAUGUUGUAAUCUGUGAUGGUGAUGCUUGAUCAUGUACGAUCUUGGUUGUAUGUUGGUUGAAUCG
rnacentral:lncRNA from 1 species